rnacentral:rRNA from 1 species
UAGGGAAUCUUCGGCAAUGGGGGCAACCCUGACCGAGCAACGCCGCGUGAGCGAAGAAGGUUUUCGGAUCGUAAAGCUCUGUUGUAAGUCAAGAACGAGUGUGAGAGUGGAAAGUUCACACUGUGACGGUAGCUUACCAGAAAGGGACGGCUAACUACGUGCCAGCAGCCGCGGUAAUACGUAGGUCCCGAGCGUUGUCCGGAUUUAUUGGGCGUAAAGCGAGCGCAGGCGGUUUGAUAAGUCUGAAGUUAAAGGCUGUGGCUCAACCAUAGUUCGCUUUGGAAACUGUCAAACUUGAGUGCAGAAGGGGAGAGUGGAAUUCCAUGUGUAGCGGUGAAAUGCGUAGAUAUAUGGAGGAACACCGGUGGCGAAAGCGGCUCUCUGGUCUGUAACUGACGCUGAGGCUCGAAAGCGUGGGGAGCGAACAGGAUUAGAUACCCUGGUAGUCCACGCCGUAAACGAUGAGUGCUAGGUGUUGGAUCCUUUCCGGGAUUCAGUGCCGCAGCUAACGCAUUAAGCACUCCGCCUGGGGAGUACGACCGCAAGGUUG